AAGUCGUAACAAGGUCUCCGUAGGUGAACCUGCGGAGGGAUCAUUACAGAGCAUCGUGCCCCCGCCCGGGUAGAUCUCCCACCCUGUGUCUCACGUACCUCCUGUUGCUUUGGCGGGCCGCCCUCGGCCACCGGCCCUGGCUGGUGCGCGCCCGCCAGAGGACCCCCCAACUCUGAAUGUUAGUGUCGUCUGAGUACUAUAUGUAAUAGUUAAAA
rnacentral:misc_RNA from 1 species